UACGAAGGGGGCUAGCGUUGUUCGGAAUUACUGGGCGUAAAGCGCACGUAGGCGGGUUGUUAAGUCAGGGGUGAAAUCCUGGAGCUCAACUCCAGAACUGCCUUUGAUACUGGCAACCUAGAGACUGGAAGAGGUUAGUGGAAUUCCCAGUGUAGAGGUGAAAUUCGUAGAUAUUGGGAAGAACACCAGUGGCGAAGGCGGCUAACUGGUCCAGUACUGACGCUGGGGUGCGAAAGCGUGGGGAGCAAACAGG
rnacentral:rRNA from 1 species